rnacentral:misc_RNA from 1 species
AAGGAUCAUUACAAGAUUAUAGAAUUCCGUAUUCUUGAACCCCUGCAGUGUACUUGUUCUUGUUGCUUCCGUGGGCUGUGAGCCUUGUGCUUACGACCGCCUUCAUGGUGGACCCACGGGAGGAAAUCAUAAACCCCGUCUUCAUGUGGUAUCUGUCUGAGCUUGUUUAAUUCAUAAAUUUUAAAACUUUCAACAACGGAUCUCUUGGUUCUC